rnacentral:rRNA from 1 species
GACGAACGCUGGCGGCGUGCUUAACACAUGCAAGUCGAGCGGAAAGGCCACUUCGGUGGUACUCGAGCGGCGAACGGGUGAGUAACACGGGAGUAAUCUGCCCCUGGCUUUGGGAUAGCCACCGGAAACGGUGAUUAAUACCGGAUAUGACCACGUCUCGCAUGGGGGGUGGUGGAAAGUUUUUCGGCCAGGGAUGUGCUCGCGGCCUAUCAGCUUGAUGGUGAGGUAAUGGCUCACCAUGGCUUCGCCGGGUAGCCGGCCUGAGAGGGUGACCGGUCACACUGGGACUGGGACACGGCCCAGACUCCUACGGGAGGCAGCAGUGGGGAAUAUUGGACAAUGGGCGGAAGCCUGAUCCAGCAACGCCGCGUGAGGGAUGACGGCCUUCGGGUUGUAAACCUCUUUCAGUACCGACGAAGCGAGAGUGACGGUAGGUACAGAAGAAGCACCGGCCAACUACGUGCCAGCAGCCGCAGUAACAC